rnacentral:rRNA from 1 species
ACGAACGCUGGCGGCGUGCUUAACACAUGCAAGUCGAACGGUGAAGCGCCUUCCUUUUUGGUGGGUGUGGAUGAGUGGCGAACGGGUGAGUAACACGUGAGUAACCCGCCCCCUUCUUCUGGAUAACCGCAUGAAAGUGUGGCUAAUACGGGAUAUUCUGGGUCUGUCGCAUGAUGGGUCUGGGAAAGAUAUUGUUUCGGUGGGGGAUGGGCUCGCGGCCUACCAGGUUGUUGGUGGGGUGAUGGCCUACCAAGGCGGUGACGGGUAGCAGGCCUGAGAGGGUGGACGGUCACACUGGGACUGAGACACGGCCCAGACUCCUACGGGAGGCAGCAGUGGGGAAUAUUGCACAAUGGGCGGAAGCCUGAUGCAGCGACGCCGCGUGAGGGAUGGAGGCCUUCGGGUUGUGAACCUCUUUCGCCAGUGAAGCAGGCCUGCCUCGUUUGUGGGUGGGUUGACGGUAGCUGGAUAAGAAGCGCCGGCUAACUACGUG